GGAAGCCCUGGCGAAAUCAAGCAGCGAAGUGCCUCCUCCGUUCCUAGCCCCAAAGCCGAAGCGACCGUGCACCUCAUCAUAGCCACCAGCAUCUGCCCCAAAAUGACCAUUAAAGUCCCCUCCAAUAACUAACUUCUCAGAUUGGGUUAUACUACUCACCAGAUCAUCCAAGUCCUCCCAAAAGCGCCUCUUAGCCUCCCCGUCUAAGCC
rnacentral:lncRNA from 1 species